rnacentral:rRNA from 1 species
GAUGAACGCUAGCUACAGGCUUAACACAUGCAAGUCGAGGGGAAACGACAUCGAAAGCUUGCUUUUGAUGGGCGUCGACCGGCGCACGGGUGAGUAACGCGUAUCCAACCUGCCCACCACUUGGGGAUAACCUUGCGAAAGUAAGACUAAUACCCAAUGAUAUCUCUAGAAGACAUCUGAAAGAGAUUAAAGAUUUAUCGGUGAUGGAUGGGGAUGCGUCUGAUUAGCUUGUUGGCGGGGUAACGGCCCACCAAGGCAACGAUCAGUAGGGGUUCUGAGAGGAAGGUCCCCCACACUGGAACUGGGACACGGUCCAAACGCCUACGGGAGGCAGCAGUGAGGAAGAUUGGUCAAUGGACGAGAGUCUGAACCAGCCAAGUAGCGUGCAGGAAGACGGCCCUAUGGGUUGUAAACUGCUUUUAUAAGGGAAUAAAGUGAGUCUCGUGAGACUUUUGGCAUGUACCUUAUGAAUAAGGACCGGCUAAUUCCGU